rnacentral:rRNA from 1 species
GAUGAACGCUGGCGGCGUGCCUAAUACAUGCAAGUCGAGCGAACGGACGAGAAGCUUGCUUCUCUGAUGUUAGCGGCGGACGGGUGAGUAACACGUGGAUAACCUACCUAUAAGACUGGGAUAACUUCGGGAAACCGGAGCUAAUACCGGAUAAUAUUUUGAACCGCAUGGUUCAAAAGUGAAAGACGGUCUUGCUGUCACUUAUAGAUGGAUCCGCGCUGCAUUAGCUAGUUGGUAAGGUAACGGCUUACCAAGGCAACGAUGCAUAGCCGACCUGAGAGGGUGAUCGGCCACAUUGGAGCUGAGACACGGUCCAGACUCCUACGGGAGGCAGCAGUAGGGAAUCUUCCGCAAUGGGCGAAAGCCUGACGGAGCAACGCCGCGUGAGUGAUGAAGGUCUUCGGAUCGUAAAACUCUGUUAUUAGGGAAGAACAUAUGUGUAAGUAACUGUGCACAUCUUGACGGUACCUAAUCAGAAAGCCACGGCUAACUACGUG